rnacentral:rRNA from 1 species
ACGGAAGGCAGCAGUGGGGAAUAUUGCACAAUGGGGGAAACCCUGAUGUAGCGACGCCGCGUGAGUGAAGAAGUAUUUCGGUAUGUAAAGCUCUAUCAGCAGGGAAGAUAAUGACGGUACCUGACUAAGAAGCACCGGCUAAAUACGUGCCAGCAGCCGCGGUAAUACGUAUGGUGCAAGCGUUAUCCGGAUUUACUGGGUGUAAAGGGAGCGUAGACGGCUGUGUAAGUCUGAAGUGAAAGCCCCGGGCUCAACCCGGGAACUGCUUUGGAAACUAUAUAGCUAGAGUGCAGGAGAGGUAAGUGGAAUUCCUAGUGUAGCGGUGAAAUGCUUAGAUAUUAGGAGGAACACCAGUGGCGAAGGCGGCUUACUGGACUGUAACUGACGUUGAGGCUCGAAAGCGUGGGGAGCAAACAGGAUUAGAUACCCUGGUA